AAGACUAUACUUUCAGGGAUCGUUUCUAGAGAUUUUCUGACUUGAGGAAUGUGUUUCUAAAGUGUUAGGUCUCGCUGACCACGAUGAUGAUGAGUGUGAUAUUCCUUUCUGAGCGUGAAGCUGACAGAGAGUAAUGAUUCACUUCAUAUGCUCUCUGUCAUUGAUGAUUGUUCUUUGCUUCUUUAUGGAGUAUUGAGGAAAGGAAUAUGAUCAGAAUGGU